rnacentral:rRNA from 1 species
GAUGAACGCUGACAGAAUGCUUAACACAUGCAAGUCAUUGGCGACGCUGCGCUUGCGCAGUCUAGCCAAGGCGGACGGGUGAGUAACGCGUAAGGAACUUGCCCUGCAGACAGGGAUAACAGACGGAAACGACUGAUAACACCUGGUAUUGUCAGGCUGGCGCAUGCCGGCCUGAUGAAAGGAGACGCUGCAGGAGAGCCUUGCGUCCUAUUAGCUAGUUGGUGGGGUAACGGCCCACCAAGGCGAUGAUAGGUAGCCGGCCUGAGAGGGUGAACGGCCACAAGGGGACUGAGAUACGGCCCUUACUCCUACGGGAGGCAGCAGUGGGGAAUAUUGGACAAUGGGGGCAACCCUGAUCCAGCAAUUCUGUGUGCACGAAGAAGGUUUUCGGAUUGUAAAGUGCUUUCAGCAGGGAAGAAGAAAGUGACGGUACCUGCAGAAGAAGCGACGGCUAAAUACGUG